rnacentral:rRNA from 1 species
AGUGAACGCUGGCGGUAGGCCUAACACAUGCAAGUCGAACGGCAGCACAGUAAGAGCUUGCUCUUACGGGUGGCGAGUGGCGGACGGGUGAGGAAUACAUCGGAAUCUACUUUUUCGUGGGGGAUAACGUAGGGAAACUUACGCUAAUACCGCAUACGACCUACGGGUGAAAGCAGGGGAUCUUCGGACCUUGCGCGAUUGAAUGAGCCGAUGUCGGAUUAGCUAGUUGGCGGGGUAAAGGCCCACCAAGGCGACGAUCCGUAGCUGGUCUGAGAGGAUGAGCAGCCACACUGGAACUGAGACACGGUCCAGACUCGUACGGGAGGCAGCAGUGGGGAAUAUUGGACAAUGGGCGCAAGCCUGAUCAAGCCAUGCCGCGUGGGUGAAGAAGGCCUUCGGGUUGUAAAGCCCUUUUGUUGGGAAAGAAAAGCAGCAGGUUAAUACCCCGCUGUUCUGACGGUACCCAAAGAAUAAGCACCGGAUAACUUCG